GCUGAGGUGUGUGUGUGGGGGGCGGGGGCAGGGGAGGGAGGAGCUGCGUGCAGAGGGGAGUGAUGCCGGAGUGGGCCUGGGCGCUCUGCAGGUGAAGGCGGCAGGGACACCGGGUACAGGGAGCCUAGCAAGGAGCAGGGGAAUCUUGCUGGCUGUCUGGAUGCAAGGACCUCAGUCUGACCCUGGCCAUGGACUUGGGGGAGCAAACUGCCGGGGUGCAGGGGAGCCACGACAUGUGGGGGAGGAGUCACCCUAGCAGCCCCUUGGUGCUUGACACACGGGGACAGUGGGUCUGGGCCGCCCAGGGGCAGAAGCCAUCCCUGCGGAUGAGACAGAUGCUGGAGAUGGAGAAGAGGCCCCGGAGCGGGCAGGAUGUGAUCAGGGAGAAAGGAGGAGCAGAGGGAGGGCGGCGGGUGCUUGGGGCGCAGCUCAGCCACAUAGGUAGGACAUGGAGGCCGGGAACAGGCCACACAGGGCACUGCACUGAGGCCUGGACAUGUUUAACCCAUUCAGUCCUGACAGCUGCUCCCUGUGAUAGUUGUGUUGGCUUCGUUUAUUUUUUAAGAGGUGUAUUUAUUUAUUUGCAAGUCAGAGAGAGAGAGAGAGAGAGAGAGCGCUUCCAUCUGCUGUUUCACUCCCUAAAUGGCUGCCACAGCCAAGACUGGAGCCAGGAACUCCAACCGGGUCUCCCACGUAGCUGGCAGGGACCCUAGCACCUGAAUCUCUUCUGUUGCGUUCCCAGGCAUAGUAGCAGGGAGCUGGAACAGAACCCGAACAGAUGGGACUCGAACUUGUGCUCCUAUAUGGGACGCCAGCGUUGCUGGCAGUGGCUUAACCCCCUGCACCACAAGAGCAGCCCCUAUUUCCCCAUUUUAUGGAUGUAGAAACAGAGGGCACAGAGGGACGUUUAAUGGCUCUACCAAGCUUUCACUGCCAGUUAGUGACAGAGCCAGGCUUUGAGCCUGGACACCAAAGCCUUGCAGGACGGCACAGCCUGCUGGAGGUCGGGCAGCCCCAGCCCUCAGCAGCCCCUCUGCUGGCCUACAUGGGCGCACGGCCCCAUUGUUAGAAUGGCCUUGGG
rnacentral:lncRNA from 1 species